UAACCUACCCAUCAGAGGGGGAUAACACUUGGAAACAGGUGCUAAUACCGCAUAACAGUUUAUGCCGUAUGGCAUAAGAGUGAAAGGCGCUUUCGGGUGUCGCUGAUGGAUGGACCCGCGGUGCAUUAGCUAGUUGGUGAGGUAACGGCUCACCAAGGCCACGAUGCAUAGCCGACCUGAGAGGGUGAUCGGCCACACUGGGACUGAGACACGGCCCAG
rnacentral:rRNA from 1 species